rnacentral:rRNA from 1 species
GAUGAACGCUGGCGGCGUGCCUAAUACAUGCAAGUCGAGCGAACAGACGAGGAGCUUGCUCCUCUGACGUUAGCGGCGGACGGGUGAGUAACACGUGGAUAACCUACCUAUAAGACUGGGAUAACUUCGGGAAACCGGAGCUAAUACCGGAUAAUAUAUUGAACCGCAUGGUUCAAUAGUGAAAGACGGUUUUGCUGUCACUUAUAGAUGGAUCCGCGCCGCAUUAGCUAGUUGGUAAGGUAACGGCUUACCAAGGCGACGAUGCGUAGCCGACCUGAGAGGGUGAUCGGCCACACUGGAACUGAGACACGGUCCAGACUCCUACGGGAGGCAGCAGUAGGGAAUCUUCCGCAAUGGGCGAAAGCCUGACGGAGCAACGCCGCGUGAGUGAUGAAGGUCUGCGGAUCGUAAAACGCUGUUAUUAGGGAAGAACAAAUGUGUAAGUAACGAUGCACGUCUUGACGGUACCUAAGCAGAAAGCCACGGCUAACUACGU